GACGAACGCUGGCGGCGUGCUUAACACAUGCAAGUCGAGCGGAAAGGCCCUUCGGGGUACUCGAGCGGCGAACGGGUGAGUAACACGUGAGUAACCUGCCCCAGACUUUGGGAUAACCCUCGGAAACGGGGGCUAAUACCGGAUACGACACAGCUUCGCAUGGGGUCUGUGUGGAAAGUUUUUCGGUUUGGGAUGGGCUCGCGGCCUAUCAGCUUGUUGGUGGGGGGAUGGCCUACCAAGGCGACGACGGGUAGCCGGCCUGAGAGGGCGACCGGCCACACUGGGCCUGAGACACGGCCCAGACUCCUACGGGAGGCAGCAGUGGGGAAUAUUGCACAAUGGGCGGAAGCCGGAUGCAGCGACGCCGCGUGGGGGAUGACGGCCUUCGGGUUGUAAACCUCUUUCAGCAGGGACGAAGCGUAAGUGACGGUACCUGCAGAAGAAGCGCCGGCCAACUACGU
rnacentral:rRNA from 1 species